rnacentral:lncRNA from 1 species
ACAUUUUGAACAAAUUUUCCCAUUAAACCACAAAUAUGAGACGAGCGUGUUCGGGCUUAGCCUCCUCAACUCUCUCCCGAGUUCUCGUAUCCGGCGGCUAUGACGGUUACGCCGCCGCCGUGAUCCAACCAAGACUCCUCCAAAAUGCGAUCUAUGGCACUACCACCGCCAGGUCCUUCUCCUCUGCUCGUUCGCCUCCGCCGCCAUGGUUUUCUUCCUGUACUGGCUACAAUUAUGGACUUGCCGGAGCUCUAUUCGCUGUUGCUGGAGCCGCCUCAUUCUUCCAAGAGGAGACGUAUGCUAAAGAGCUUACUCCUCCGGAGCUCGUCCCAAAGGAGGUUGUGUUGUAUCAGUAUGAAGCGUGCCCCUUUUGUAACAAAGUUAAAGGU